ensembl:lncRNA
CUACUACUGACCUUCUGGCGCUGGGUCUGGAGGAGGAGCAUCUGCUUCCGGACAUGAAUUGGCCGCAGGUAACUGAAACCUCAGAAAGCGAAACCUCAAAUAAGGGGGGACAACUGUAUCUCUGUUGAAGAAGAUGCACCCCAGGAACAUUUUUAAUUUUUAUGUCAGACUUUAUGCCUAAAGGCAAAAAUGAAACAAGAACCACAAGAAAACAUUUAAAGAUGUCAGGGAAAAAGUUGUGGUGGGUGGUGAUGUUCAUGCAAUGUAAGUUAGCAUGGCACCGGAUAUUCUGAAGGGUGCCCCGGUGGGUCUGUGUAAGAGGGAGCAGAAGAGUUCAGUUCUGAUCAGGUGGGCGUGCUGUGCCUGGCAAGUGCCCAGAGGCUGGGGGAAAGUGGGGAGAGAAGACUAACGUAUUUCGACAAAUCUAGAAGACGCCAUUGUUUGUUUCAUCCUGAAAAAGGAAGAAAAUGCUGUCUAUAACUUACCACUUGCCUUGGAUUGUAAGUGCAUCCCAAUGUCAAAGAUUUUAAAAUGUGAAGAAGACAGGCUCUCGUAUAGCUGGUGCAAUACAGUAUCUAACCUUCACUCCCUGCUCUCCCAGGGUCCACAAGCACACCUCUCACCUGCUGGGCCCUGUGGGGCUGGUUCUCCAGUGAUGCCGGAGGAGCCAGGAUCCCGGCCAUCACGACAAGGAGCUGUGGCUUUCACACUUGCACGUGUAUCCCAAUGCCUGGAACUUAUUAAAAGAGAAAAAGAGGCUGAUUUAGUGUGUCUGGUGUGGGAACUAGGACGCUUCUUUCUUAACGGGUACACCACAUGAUUUCAGGGUGAGCAGUCCCAUCGACACUUGAGGAAACACUCCUGGCGUCUUCAGAAGCCGUUCAGCAGACCAAACAGCAGAUCUUCUCUGGGUCCUCCCUGGCUUGGGGGCCCUGCACGUGCUGGUGCCUCUCACUGGAUGGCCCUUGCCUUUUCUGCCUUUGACAAUGUCCAUUCAUCUGUCAGGUCGGUUUAAUCCUCGGGUUCCACAGCCACUUCCCUGACCUGGCCAGGAGAGAGAAGUUUCUUUUAAAAAGGCCCCCAAAAGGGAGCUGAAAUUUUGUGACCAACUACUAUAUUGCAAAAAUCACGCUGUGUGAAUUCUGAAACUGAAGUGUAAAAAAUACUGGCUUCUGACUUGCUCUCUCGGAUCCCUCACUUUGAGAGGAGCUGGCUGCCAUGUCAGGAGGACGCUCAAGCAGCCAUGUGGAGAGGUCCACAUGGUGGAGAACUGAGGCCUCCUGCCAACAGCCAGCACCAGCUUCCAGCCGUGUGAGUGAGCCACCUUGGAAGGGGACCUCCUGUCCCUGGUGGAGCUUCAGAUGACAGCAGUUGACGUCUUGAAUGCAGCCUCACGAGAGACCUCCAGACCACCACGCUCCACAGCUCCUACAGGCUGAUCCACAGAAACUGUAGGAAAUGCUAAAUACUUAUUAUUCUUUUAAACUGCUAUGUUUGGAGGUAAUUUAUUUUGGAGAAAUAGAAAACUUAUUUGGGAGGUUUGACCUUGAACUGGAGAAGGGAAUUUAGAAAGCGAAUGGGAAAUUUGUGAUUGCUAUUGGGAAAAGAAGAAGAAAUCUAAGCCUGGGGCUGGAGCUUCAUAAUUUUGCUAUAGGGUGUGGGCUUUUGUCUUCAGCUCUGGAAGAACAAGUAGAAGCUGUCAGGAGAGGCAUUUCUGCCCCUGGAAAGCCCUAUGUACUUGAACUUGGAGAGAACACUGUGUUUGAGUCCCACCAAUAUUGUCCCACACAUUUAUACCACUAUUUUUAAAUGUCUUUAUUAUAAAUGUCUGUCACUCUCUGAGGAUUUUCUGUCAGAGCUAUAAUUGUGCCCAUAUUAUACCUGGUUCAGAUCCACUCCACAUACGUAAGAUUGCACCACGAAGAAAAAUAAACUCAAGUUUGCAGAAUUUAUUUCAUUAACAAUAGAUGAUCUUUAUUAAGUUUGGGGACCUCCAGUGGGUGGUGCCUGUGAAGCGUUUCAGCUUUUUCUUAAGCCAGAGAAGUUCAAGUCACAGAGCCAUUGCACAGAUUCUGGUGUCACGUACAGGAGAGAGGAACAUCUGCUGAUGACAGUAAAAGGUGGCUGCCCAGAGUGGGUUCUUUACUCUGCCUUGCUCACGGCGUAUCGAGGAAUCUCUGCGGGGCCUCCCACUUCAAGGAGCGAGUUCUGGGAUCAGAACCAGGAGUCUCACAGAGCAGCCGUCUCCACAGGCAGCCUCACGUGGGCCACACGCGCCUGCCUCCUGGAGAACUCCCAGCCCUAGGAAUUCGGACUGUCCCAGAGCCUUUGCCAAGUUGGCCUGCAGGGUUUUGUCUACUCUUGAGUGGUCUUUGUAAAAAGUGGCAAUUUUUCCGAGGCACGCACACAAAUCCUCCAGUCUGAAGCUGCUGCGCCACAAUAAGUCACCCACUGGAGAGCAAGGCCGCGUCUCCCCGACAUGGCUGUGUGUGUCCCACCCAUUGCUUAGUGCAAGGCACACUGAGGUCUGACGGGGUGUGAUGGUCUGGAUUACUGUUGAACGAAUGUUUCUUCUCUAAACCCCGCCCACCCCUCCCCAGUGCACACCCUGAGGCAGAGUAUAAAUCCUGGCCCACCAGUUGGGCCACAUGCUUUGCUUUGGCCAAUGACAUUUUAGCAGAUGUGAUCUGAGAAAGUCUUGAAAUGUGCUCACAUGGCUGGGCUUUCCCUCUCGUGCUUCUCUCAUUGCCCUGGGACUAGGCCUCAGACAGCUCCUCAUUCUGGAGAAAUGGGAGAAACACAGAGGGGAGCCACCCUAGUCAACCUGAAGAUCCAGAGCCUGAAGCAGGGUCACCCCAGGUGACCCAUAGACGUGAGAGUGAAAAACAAAUGCUUCUUGUGGUAUGUUCUGGAAACGUUGGUGGCUGCUUGUUACACAGCGUUAUAAUGACAGUAGCUGCUGACUGGGACGUGGCUAAUUACAUUUUUCAUUUAUGUGCUACUGCAUUUAUGUGGAGAAUUGUGUGCUCUUAAGAUAUCCAUGAAUUUUUUUGACGUGCAAAUGCCUGAGCUCAGGGCCUUCAGGAAUAUCAGGAAUCUCCUGGAAGAGGGCAUGUGCUCCAGAGAUCGUUUCUCUGCCCUUUGACACUCUGUCUGUCCUGAAA